rnacentral:rRNA from 1 species
CCUACGGGAGGCAGCAGUGAGGAAUAUUGGUCAAUGGCCGGAAGGCUGAACCAGCCAAGUCGCGUGAAGGAUGACGGUGCUAAGCAUUGUAAACCUCUUUUGUCAGGGGACAAAGUGAGGCUCGAGAGGCUGUUUGAGGGUACUUGAAGAAAAAGCAUCGGCUAACUCCGUGCCAGCAGCCGCGGUAAUACGGAGGAUGCGAGCGUUAUCCGGAUUUAUUGGGUUUAAAGGGUGCGUAAGCGGACUGUUAAGUCAGCGGUAAAAGUUCGGGGCUCAACCCCGGCGUGCCGUUGAAACUGGCUGUCUUGAGUUGUCGAGAGGUAUGCGGAAUGCGCGGUGUAGCGGUGAAAUGCUUAGAUAUUACGCAGAACUCCGAUUGCGAAGGCAGCAUACCGGC